rnacentral:rRNA from 1 species
UAUAAUGCAAGUCGAGCGCGGGAGCAGGCAGAUCCUCUUCGGAGGUGACGCCUGUGGAACGAGCGGCGGACGGGUGAGUAACACGUGGGCAACCUGCCUGUAAGAGUGGGAUAACCCCGGGAAACCGGGGCUAAUACCGGAUAAUACUUUUCGUUGCAUAACGAGAAGUUGAAAGGCGGCUUUUAGCUGUCACUUACAGAUGGGCCCGCGGCGCAUUAGCUAGUUGGUAAGGUAACGGCUUACCAAGGCAACGAUGCGUAGCCGACCUGAGAGGGUGAUCGGCCACACUGGGACUGAGACACGGCCCAGACUCCUACGGGAGGCAGCAGUAGGGAAUCUUCCGCAAUGGACGAAAGUCUGACGGAGCAACGCCGCGUGAGUGAUGAAGGUUUUCGGAUCGUAAAACUCUGUUGUCAGGGAAGAACAAGUGCCGUUCUAAUAGGGCGGCACCUUGACGGUACCUGACCAGAAAGCCCCGGCUAACUACGUGCCAGCAGCCGCGGUAAUACGUAGGGGGCAAGCGUUGUCCGGAAUUAUUGGGCGUAAAGCGCGCGCAGGCGGUCCUUUAAGUCUGAUGUGAAAGCCCACGGCUUAACCGUGGAGGGCCAUUGGAAACUGGAGGACUUGAGUACAGAAGAGGAGAGUGGAAUUCCACGUGUAGCGGUGAAAUGCGUACAGAUGUGGAGGAACACCAGUGGCGAAGGCGACUCUCUGGUCUGUAACUGACGCUGAGGUGCGAAAGCGUGGGGAGCGAACAGGAUUAGAUACCCUGGUAGUCCACGCCGUAAACGAUGAGUGCUAGGUGUUAGGGGGUUUCCGCCCCUUAGUGCUGAAGUUAACGCAUUAAGCACUCCGCCUGGGGAGUACGGCCGCAAGGCUGAAACUCAAAAGAAUUGACGGGGGCCCGCACAAGCGGUGGAGCAUGUGGUUUAAUUCGAAGCAACGCGAAGAACCUUACCAGGUCUUGACAUCCUCUGCCAAUCCUAGAGAUAGGAUGUUCCCUUCGGGGACAGAGUGACAGGUGGUGCAUGGUGUCGUCAGCUCGG